GGCAUGGUGCUGUGGUUUGAGCAUUAGACCAUGACUCUGGAAACCAGAGUUCAAUUCCCUGCUUGGCCA